GCCUGCCAAGGAUGGGUGACACACAAGGGCUCAUUAAAACGACCAACCGCCAUUUAGACCGGGAGAGCCAAUCAGAACACGUGCUUGAGAUACUAGUGAGUGAUUCAGGAGAACCAUCUUUAUCAUCUACCACCCGAGUGGUGGUUACAGUCGAAGACAUCAAUGAUCAUGAUCCACAAUUCACAGAAUCUCUUUAUCGAUGUCCAGUUUUGGUAUCUAACAAAAUGGCCGAAGGAUAUCUCUGUCGAGUUGUUGCUACCGAUCCCGAUGAAGGUCCCAAUGCUCUGGUGGAAUAUAAGAUACAAAAAACAAGUGCUGGAAACAUUUUUCAUGUACAUCCAAAAACUGGAAUUAUAACUACCAACAAGACUCUUCAGACCGGAUCUGAAUAUGAACUUUUUAUAGAAGCCAGUGAUCAUGGUAAACCAAAGCGAUCACAAACUGUUCGUGUUUUGAUUGAAGCCAUUGCUGGGCCUAAAAAGUCUCCUCAUCCUCCAGUCAUCAGGAAUUCUGAAUCAUACAAUGUAGUAACUGCAAGUGACCCAAUACAACAGAUGGUGACAUUAAUUGAAGCAGAUGAUAAAGAUAAAGACAGAUUAUGGUUUGCAAUUGUUGGUGGUAAUGAUGAUGAAAAAUUUAUGAUGAAAAAUGAUGCUGGUGCAGUCCUUUUAGCAGAGCCUGUGAAUGGAGAAAAGCUCAGCCAGUAUAACUUGAAUAUCAGCGUAACAGAUGGAACCCAUACUGUGUACACAAUGCGAAAGGUGGACGUGAAAGAUAUCAAUGAUCAUAGACCAGUUUUUAAGCAGUCUAAGUACAUUGUAACUGUCAAUGAGAGUUCUCAACAAGGAACAGAGAUCUUGCAUGUGUCUGCAGAAGAUCGUGAUAAAGCAGAGCAGCUGUUCUACUCAAUUUACAAUAGUGCUAGUCCUUCCAGCCUUAAACACUUCCACAUGGAUCCAAAGAAAGGUACAUUGUCCAUUGCCGAGCCCCUUGACCGUGAAAUGAGUCGACACCAUAUUCUGACCAUUAUGGUCAAAGAUCGAGGCACUCCUGCUAAACGGAACUUUGGUCGUGUACACGUUGAUGUGGAAGAUCAUAACGACCAUGCUCCUGAGUUUCUGUCCACUCAAUUUGAAGGUCAGGUUUAUGAGACAGCAGGUAUUGGCACCCCUGUUGUUCAAGUGUUUGCUGUUGAUAGUGACAAGGGAAGAAAUGCUCAUAUCAACUUUGCAAUUGUUAAAGGAAAUGAAGGGAACAGUUUUGCAAUCGACUCCAAGCUUGGAAUUGUUUCAGUUGCCAAGGAACUCAACCAGAAUCUUAUGGGAGAAUAUUAUCUCACUGUAAGAGCUUCGGAUGAAGGAGAAGUUCCCAAAGAAAGUACCACAAGUGUUCACAUUAUUGUGACGAUUCCCGAUAAUUCUGCACCAAAAUUUGAAAAGAAAGAGUAUGUCACAGAACUGUAUGAAAAUGAAAAACCUGGGACUGUUGUCAUUACCGUAGCAGCCUCCAGUCGGUCCCUGCUAUAUUAUGAAAUAGUAUCUGGAAAUAUUGACGCAAAGUUUGCUAUUAAUCCCCAUUCUGGUGAACUUCGCACAACUACAGAACUAGACUAUGAAGAAACAAAUCUCUACAAUUUAACUGUUAAUGCAACAAACCUAGUUAGUAUGAAUGCUAGUACUGUAAUAACUAUACAUGUACUUGACAGAAAUGAUAAUACUCCAAAGUUUCUGAAGUCUAUUUAUUAUGGCAAAAUUAGUGAAUCAGCAGAAAUUGGAACCCUGGUGUUAACCAAUGAAAGUGUUCCCCUGGUGGUCACUGCAACAGACAAAGACUCUGGAUUGAACUCGCAUUUAGUUUAUGAGAUUAUCGAGAAAUUACCCCGUACUUACUUCCAGAUCGAUUCGUCCACAGGUUCCAUAAGUACAGUCCAAACAUUGGAUCAUGAAAAAAUAACAUAUUUUCGAUUCACUGUCCAAGUUACAGAUAAGGGUAAACCUCGGCUUAUUGCUGAAGAAAACGCAGAAGUUUUUAUUUUGGUGCUGGAUGUAAAUGAUUCUCCUCCUCAGUUUGAAAAGGACAUGUACGAAUGUACCCUGCUUCUGCCUACUUACAAAGGUGUAGCUGUUACUGUUGUCAAAGCUCACGAUCCUGAUUCUGAUGCACAGACAGGAAUUAAAUAUGCUAUUGUAUCUGGUAACCGUGGAGCCAAGUUUGUUAUUAAUGAGGUCACUGGUCAGAUCUUCAUAAGGGACCCAGAAAAAUUGGAGGACCAGUACAAUAUGAUUGUAGCAGCUAAAGAUGGCGUGUUUGAGGCUAGCACCAAAGUUCAAGUCAGAGUAGAAAAGACAAAAGAUAGUGGACUAAAGUUUUCCAAGAGUAUUUACAGAGCUUCAAUUAUGGAAAACACAACUGACAUAUUAAAAGUUACUAUUGUAACUGUUGUUGGAAGUGCCCUAAAUGAGCAUGUGACUUUCGAUAUCCUAAACCCUUCUGGUAUGUUUAGGAUUGGGAAAACAUCUGGGUCAAUCCAGACAACUGGCAAGCCUUUUGAUCGUGAGACUGAAAACAGUUAUACUCUUGUUGUAGAAGCAAGAAGUGCAGUUACUUCUGUGCCACGUGUAGCUCAUGUCCUUGUAGAAAUAACUAUUCUUGACGUGAAUGACAAUGCCCCAAUAUUUGUUAAUCUUCCUUAUUAUUCAGUGGUGCCUAUUGAAGCCCAGCCUGGAGAUUUGAUUCGCAAGGUACAAGCUAUUGAUUUGGAUAUGGACUUAAAUGGGUACAUACAUUAUGAGCUAGUGAAAGGAGAGAAGGACCUGUUUAGUAUCGAUAGUCGAACAGGAGAAGUUCGGCUACGCCAUUACCUUAAACCUCACAUAACUGCUUAUGAUGUUGUCGUAGCAGCAUAUGAUAAUGGGAAGCCCUCAUUACGUAGUGAAGUAGCUGUACCCAUAAAGGUGAUCAACAGGAACAUGCCGACAUUUGAAAAACAGUUUUACAGAGUUUUAGUACCAGAAAAUAUACGUCCUAAAUCACCUGUUCUCUCAAUCACGGCUGAAAGUCCACAAGGACGCCAACUGAUCUACAGUAUUGUUAAAGGAAAUGAUGAUGAAGAAUUUGGAGUUGAUUUCAACACUGACCCAGGUCAUAAUAAUGGUCCAUGUGUUAUCUUUGUGGUGGAGGAGCUUGACUUUGAGAUCCGUCAGCAACAUCAUAUCACACUACGAGCCACUGAUUCUGUAUCUGGAGACUACACGGAUGUUUUAGUGGAUAUCCAAGUUGAAGAUGUGAAUGAUAAUGCUCCCAUGUUUAGUCAACCAACCUACAAUGGAACGAUCUCAGAGGCUACACCCUUUGGAACAUCAAUCCUGAAGGUUUAUGCAACUGACAGAGACACAGGUCCUAAUCAGGAUAUACAGUAUAGCAUUCUAGGUAAUGCUACUGCUUAUUUCCACGUUGAUCCUACAGAAGGCAUAGUCUUUAUCAAACAUUCUCUUGACCACGAAACUCAGCCUAUGCAUCAUUUUGUUGUUAUGGCAACAGAUGGAGGCUCACCAUCUCUAAGCUCGACGGCAAAUGUUUGGGUUACAGUUUCAGAUAUGAAUGACAAUCCUCCUUCAUUUAGAAACCCAUCUUAUAAAUGUGUCCUUAGUGAACAUGCUGAACGUGGGCAGUUUGUCAUCAUGGUGGUUGCAUCUGAUCCUGACGUUACAGACCAACCAAAACUAGCAUAUUCUAUUGUAGGUGGCAAUGAUCAUCAGGCUUUUACAAUCAACAACACAACGGGUGUGGUCUCCCUUUUCAAUGCUCAUCAGUUCUGGACACAGUCCUCCUAUGUUUUGAACAUAUCAGUAACAGACGGUGUGUACUCCAGCUAUGCUAGAGUUACAGUGGACAUACGGAGUGCUAACAGACACGCACCCGUGUUUAGCCGAACGAAAUAUGAAGUUGCCUUAGAAGAGAACCUGCCACCUGGAUCCUUGGUAGCAACUGUGAUUGCCACAGACAAAGACAGGAGUGUUUAUGGAGUUGUCAGAUACUAUAUACAGAGUGAAGAAUGUUUGAAAUUGUUCAGUAUAAAUCCCAGUUCAGGAGAAAUCGUCACAAAAAUGUCCUUUGACAGAGAAAAGAAAAACCUCUACGAGAUUCCUCUAGUGGCCAUGGAUGUUGGUGGACGAGCAGGGUACAGCACGGUUAGGCUUACCAUUACAGAUGUGAAUGACAAUAUACCACAGUUUUUAGUUGCAGAGUAUCAAGUUAGCAUACAUUCAAACAUGAUAGUAGGCACGACCAUUUUGAAAGUACAUGCAUUGGAUUUGGACUUGGCAGAAGCGGCAUCUUUGGAGUACAGUAUAUAUGAAAGGAACAAUUCAGAAAUUCAAAAAAUGUUUCACAUUGCUCACGAUCAAGGAGAAAUUUACCUUAAAAGUUCUGCUAAGGGGCUAGAAAAUACUGUGUAUCAGUUUUUUGUCCGAGCCCAAGACAGAGGAUCUCCACCAUUACAGACUGAAGUCCCAGUCAGUAUCCAUGUUAAAGGCCCAAAUCAACAAGCUCCCAAGUUUGACAAACUUUGUUAUGAGUUCUUUCUCAAUGAAAACUCUGAAAUUGGUAAAAUAGUCGCAACUUUAAGCGUAACUUACCCUGAAGAGGUUGUAUACUCUUUUGCUCCCGUUAACAAAGAUUCAGGAGCUCAACUUUACUUGUCAAGCUUCAGUAUUGACAACCAGGGUCACAUCAUGCAAGUUGCAGAACUAGACAGAGAAGAAAGAGACACUUAUAAUCUAACUCUCAGAGUGGAAUCCAUCUCCCAACACCAUUUAGCAUCGUACACUGAUGUUAGCAUUAUUCUGAUGGAUGAAAAUGACAACACUCCAGUGUUUGAAUCCAGUCCAUACAAAGUCACAGUUGCAGAGAAUGUAGAAGUAGACUACACAGUAACAAGAUUGGCAGCCUAUGAUCUUGAUAUCGCAACCAAUGCUAAAGUUGUGUUUUCGUUUGGUCCAGACACUGAGGAUAUUGCUAAAGUGUUUAAUCUGGAUCCCAUCGAGGGCUGGAUUACCGUCAAGACGCAUCUAGACCGGGAAACAACGCCCUGGUACAACUUUUCUGUUAUUGUCCAUGAUAGUGGUUCCCCACAACUUUCUUCACAAACAAUGGUGCAUAUAGAAGUAAAAGAUUACAAUGACAACCCUCCAGUUUUUAGGCGUGAUUACUAUGAAAGCUCUAUAUUUGAAAAUGCAUUGGCAGGAACCAUUAUCAUUAUGUUGGAAAUUGAUGAUCCUGAUAGUGAUGUUGGUGAUCCUGUUCAGUUUUACAUAAUUGAUGGUAAUCCACAAGAUCAGCUUCAUAUCAGCAGAAAUGGUGAGAUCUACGUCAACAAGCCCCUCGACAGAGAACAAACACCUAGCUACAAACUGAAAGUUAUUGGAACUGAUGGAAGAUUUGUAUCCAGCACUACAGUAGCUAUUGAAGUUUUGGAUGCUAACGACAAUCCUCCCAUUUGUUACAUGUCUAAAUACACAGAACUCGUAUCAGAGAGUAUUGAACCCAAAACUUAUAUCCUGACUGUUGAAGCAACAGAUAAGGAUGAGGAAAGGAAUGCCCAGCUGCAUUAUUACUUGACUGGAGAGGGAGCUGAAGAUUUUUACAUCAAUCCAGUAGAAGGAUUUUUGAAGACAGAAAAGCCACUGGAUAGAGAACGUCAGCCCCGUUACCAUCUCGUGGCUCACGUUCAAGAUAAAGACAAACCUGAAUGGGAAUGCACUACCGUUGUUGAAAUACUUCUCAGUGAUGUGAACGAUAAUCCUCCAGAAUUUACAUCAAAUGUUUACACUGUAACAGUCCCCGAGGAUUCUAAAGUUGGAACACUGAUCACCAAAGUCCAUGCUAUAGAUAAAGACUUGGGAAUAAAUCGUAAAAUUAGUUACUCCUUUGUUGAUUCUGCAAAUGGUAACUUCACCAUUAACAAUCAGACUGGCAUUGUCCGCCUCCACAGAUCUUUAGAUCGUGAGCAGAUAGCGUUUUACAACUUAACGGUUCAGUGUAGUGACCAUGGUACUCCUCAGCUCUCCUCUGUUGCAACCAUUUUGGUCAGGGUACAAGACAUUAACGAUAAUCCACCAGAGUUUGCUAAUAACUUCUAUCAUGCUAAUGUCUCGGAGAGAGACGAAGCUGGUACAGAACUUGUCCGUGUCCUCGCAAGAAGCAAGGACACUGGAGUGAAUGCAGAAAUCACCUAUUCUAUCGUCAAUGGAAAUGAUUUUGGUGGCUUUAUCAUUCAUCCAAAAUCAGGUGUCAUUUCUGUUGCUAAAAGUUUAGAUUAUGAAGAUGUGAAAGAUUAUUUCCUAACCAUUGAAGCCAAAGAUGGAGGAACGCCACCACUUAAUAACCAUGCCACAGUUAAUAUAUCUGUUAUCGAUGCUAAUGACAAUCCUCCAGUUUUCAAUCAGCCAUCUUACAGAGUUGUUAUUCCUGAGGAUGCAUCUCCAGGGGACAAAAUUAUACAGGUUAAAGCUAGCGAUAUUGACAGCCUUCCAAACUCCAGAUUGUCUUUCUUUAUCAUUGGAGGUGACAAACACAGCCAAUUUAAAAUGAAGGAGGAAGAUGGCUAUAUUAUUUUGGCUGCUCCACUGGACAGGGAGUCGGUUUCUACUUAUGUUUUGGAAGUGGAAUGUAAAGACAGUGGAACUCCUUCCUUAUCUACAGUUGUUUUGGUUAACAUUGAAGUUUCUGAUGUCAAUGAUAACCCACCUGUUUUCUCUCAGGCAAACUAUACAGCCAUUGUUCAGCUUGAUAAAUUGGAAACAGUAGAAGGAAAACAGCGGGGGUUUACCAUUCUGAAAUUUUCGGUCACUGAUGCUGACUCCCCUCCAAAUACAACCCCUUUUACAUUUGACAUUGUCUCUGGAAAUGAGGACAAGUCUUUCCGCCUGGUCCAGCAAGAUGCUUCUUUACGCACAGCCACCUUGUUCAACCAUAAGUUUAAGAAUGAAUACAUUCUCCACAUCAAGGUUUCAGAUGGAGGCAUACCACCACAGAGCAGUGAGACAUGGGUUGUGAUUCACAUCAUCGAAGAAAGCCAGUUCCCUCCGGUGGUAAACUCUUUGAAAGUUUCUGUGAGCUCUUAUCUAGAUGAGUUUCCUGGAGGUGUGAUGGGACGAGUCCAUGCCGCAGACAGCGAUCCCUAUGACAAGUUAAUCUAUGAUAUUGUGUCGCCUCACAAACAUUUGUUUAAGAUUGAUCCUGAAGAUGGUACAUUGGUUGCUUAUGAAGGAUUGGAUUCAGGGAGCUACAAUAUUACUGUCAGUGUCAGUGAUGGAAAGUUUAAUACAUAUGGAACUGCCUUGGUAGAGGUCUCUGUGGUGAUGGAGGAGGCAGUGAAGAACAGUAUAGGUAUCAGUCUCGAUGAUGUUACUCCUGAAGAUUUCCUUCUUAGUUACAAGAAAGGUUUUCUUAGGGCAGUAAGAAACAUUUUAAAUGUUCGAAUUCAAGAUGUGACAAUUAUCAGCAUGCAACCAUCCUUAGAUGAGUCCAUCAGAAGUCGCAGAAGCACGCGACAGGAUCUAGACAUCUUGUUUGCAAUAAAAAAGGGUAUUCAAGGAUUUUAUUCGCCAAACACAAUUUUGACAAAAUUGAAAGAGCAGAAAGAAUCUUUCGAAUCAACUAUUGGACUCAUGGUUGUAAAGGUUACAGAAGACAGGUGCACCAAAAACCACUGCGAUCAUGGAGAAUGUGUUGACAGAGUUAUUUUAGACAAGAUCCAUGCCAUUAGCAUCACAACUGACUCUUUAAGUUAUGUGUCUCCCCAACAUUAUAGGAAACUCGAGUGCCAUUGUGAUCCAGGUUACGGAGGAGAACGCUGUGAUCAUGAAGUGAAUGAAUGUGCUCGUAGACCGUGUCCACAGUAUCGUGUUUGUACACCAGAUGGCUCUCCAUUGGGUUACACCUGCAGGUGUCCAGAGGGAAAAAUGGGAACCUUCUGUGACCUAGAAGAGGGGGCUCCUUGUCAAGGUCUUGCCUGUUAUGAAGAAAAGCAUCCAAUUUUCUUCAGUGGAAAGAGUUAUGCUCAUUAUGAACUAAACAUCCCCAUCAAUCGACACUUAAGUGUGGUUUUACGAAUAAGGACAAAAUUAGCAACUGGAAACCUGAUGUAUGCUGCCGGAAUGAGAGAUUACAGUAUACUUGAGAUGGUAGAUGGUUUCAUCCAGUACCGAUUCGAUUUUGGCAGUGGUGAGGGAAUAAUUCAGGUAUCAAAUGUAAGAGUGAAUGAUGGAUUGUGGCAUGAGGUAAAGUUAGACAGGCAUGACAAUACAGCAGAAGUUUUUGUUGAUGGUCAAUUUAGAAUAUCGGGGAAGGCCCCAGGUGUUCACGAACUGCUGAACUUGGAAAGAAAUGAUGUCUUUUUUGGAGGUGAGGUACACACCUUGACACUUGAUGAUGUAAGAAUGGGCUUCAUUGGGUGUAUGGAUGACAUUCGGGUGGCAGGAUUACCACUUCCACUCAUCUCUUCGGCAAGCAGCUCUGUUGCCACAUUAAGAAGGUUUGUUCGUGUGGAAUAUUUCUGUGGUGCUUUGAUGGACCCAGGAGUUUGUGGUAGUCAACCUUGUCUCAAUGGUGGAACAUGUAAGGAUCUGGGACAGCUCUUUUCUUGCCAGUGUCCACAUCGUUUCUCUGGUCCUCGUUGUGAGUUUGACAGUAAUCCUUGUGCCUCAAAUCCUUGUCUUUAUGGUGGCACCUGCUACAAUAAUAAUAAUGAUUUUCGAUGUGAAUGUACACCAGGUCUCACCGGGAAGCGAUGUAGUUAUGGACGUUACUGUAACCCUAAUCCUUGCCAAAAUGGUGGCAUAUGUGAAGAAGGUGUUUCUGGACCUAGUUGCAAGUGUCAUGGUUUCCAUGGUAACUUUUGUGAGUUUGAUAUUGAUGAGUGUCAAACAUCACCUUGUGCUGUAGGUUCAACAUGCAUCAACUUCCGGGGAAGUUUUCGAUGCCAAUGUCAACCAAACAUGACAGGACCUCUUUGUACAGAAUCUCGUUUUACAACCUCCAUCACAUCAACUAGCAUGAACAUUACUAAAGAAGAAAUCAUUGGUAUUGCUGUAGUACUAGCUUUUAUUAUCAUUGCUGUCAUAAUAAUUGUCUGUUGCUGUCGUGUCUAUCACCGUAAACGACAUCGAAGGCCUCAAAACAAUGCCACACAGGAAGACUCAGCCAGUGAAAUGAUGUUGAAGAACCCAGUAGAUAAGGACAACUUCAAUAGAAUGGGUAAAGUGAGUAACUUGGAAGUAACACCAUUCAUAAGACCCACAAUACCUCCCCGCCCAGCUUCUUACACCCCAAGCACUCAAGAAACUCUGAGUACAAUGAAUAAUUUUGACACAGUUCGCAGCUAUGGCAGUGCUGCUGAUGACUUGGAGAGCAUCCCUCGCUAUAGUAAUGAAUUUUUGCAGAACAUUAACAAGCCAAUUGUCAGUGUAGCACCUACUCUUCCUCCUCCACCACCAUCCAACUCUGCAUCUGACUCUGAUUCCAUUGUCAAAGAAGGAUGGGAACACGACAAAGAGAGAUCCAAAGAAAAAAUGUAUCAGAAUAAAAUCCAAAAUGACUUGAAGCCUCAAAAGGUUGUGGCUCUUUCUCCUCUUCCUGUGGUCAAUCCAGUUAUACCAUCUAGAGGUCCUUCAAGUCUUGGAGUCUCUUCAGAACUAAGUUCAGUGGAUGAUCUAUCUGCUGGACCAGUGGGACAAAAUCCUCAUCAGUCUACAGUCACACCUCUCCCUCCCCCACGUCUUUGUCCAGAGCGGGGUAAGCAUUCCUUCCCCUGUCUCGUGGGGUAGGCAAAGCAAGUUUGGCCCCAGACAUCCUACUAACAGAAUGUUUCUCUUAGGGAACCUUGGUAGCUUUGCAGUUGCAAAUGGUGUCUGAAUUAAUCAAUUUUCAGCCAACUAUAAUUUACAUUUAUAUAAAAACCCUGAAAAUUGCCCAUCCUCUAAAGAUAAAAAAAUUAGUGUUGUUGACAAGGCUGAGGUUAUUCUUUAUGGCUUAGCAUGAGUUUGCUGUGGUUUUGUUAACUAUGUAAUGCUUAAACAUUUUUCACGGGGAAUGAACAGACUCGCCUAUUUGAGCUGGUAGUAGUGCAAGAUUUGCUAAAUGUUCUGUUUUGUUACUGUGAUAUUUUGAAAGUUUGUUAAAGUGAGAUUUAUUUCUCAAUUAUCAAUCAGAAAUUUCUGAAAACUUCAGUCUAGGAGGCUCAGCUCUUUUCAAAUAUAUUGAUUUCUGUAGAACUACAUAUUUGCAUGUAUUAAAAAUUGAGAACUACAACUUAAUAUGCUUCAAUAGAAAUAACACUUAAAAUUUUCACAAGUACGGGGUUUACGGAAGUGAUCAUGUUAUUGAUGGAACAAGGAAAGCUAUCAAAGUAUUGACUCACUUCUUGUUUUUAACUUGUAAGUUAAAUCUAAUAAAGAGUGAAGGUACUAGAACUUUAUUCUAGAUUACAACUGAAUCUUAGAGCGUGAACUAUGAGCUUAUAGAAUUCCAUAAAGCAAAAACGUCCAAGAGAUCUUUUGUGCUGGAUGUUACUUUUGAUUAUUAGUACAUGGUAUAUAAACCAUUGCUUUGAAUAAAAGAUAAUUAUGUAAUAGCAUAAUCACAUAAAUUUCCAGACCUGGUAUGUACGACGUCAACAUUUUUCAAAUUUUAUUGAACUUGAUGAAUUCAGUGUGUAAAAAAAAACUGUAUGUUUGUUGCAUUAUUACCAAGUUUAAAUUAAUUAGUUGUUGUGUGAUUAUAUAAAUCAUUAGCUCUCAAGUAUAGAGUCUCUUGAGAAUUUAUUUUGAAGGACAGGAUAUACUUUUAUUUUCUGUUUUUCUUGGUUUAUUCUGAAGCUGCAUCUAAAUUUUUAAUUUGCUUGGGCCUGGUGGUGGUAUUAUUAUUCUCCUAUUUCUGUGUAGUUAUUUUACUGUUUGAAGUAGGUUUUGGACUACUAACUAUAGCUCUGUUCCCUCCAGACCAUCCAGGGGAGAAGAGAGGCAAGGAUACUAAAGGAUACCAUUGGGACUGUUCUGAUUGGGCUAAUGCUCAGAAACCACUUGACAACAUCACAGAGAUCUCUAUGAAUGAGGUACCAGAUUCAUCUAGUGUACAAAGUGCAGAUA
rnacentral:misc_RNA from 1 species